rnacentral:tRNA from 1 species
GCGGAGGUCGCAUAGCCUGGUAUUGCGCCGGCCUUGAAAGCCGGUGUCUUCUGACACGGGAGUUCGAAUCUCUCUCUCCGCG